ACGGACACAUCACAUUGAAACCGCGAUUCCCGUGCGAUCACAGAGGUUAAGCAACCUCGAUCCUGUUCAGUACUUAGAAGGGUGACCGUCUGGGAAUAUCUGGCGCU